GGGCCCCAGACGCUUUCCUAUUGGUUGAUUUGGUGUGAGGGCGGUAGAUUAUUUAGCGACUGUGUGAUUUGGUACUGUACCGAUCUAACAUAAAUUAGAGAUUAAACGUCUAGGACCCCAUAGACCAGAGGAUUUCACCCUUUGUCAAGAAG